GAAAAAACGAUGCGUAGAAGAGUAGUUUUCAUGACGACUUGAAGAGAGCUCCGAUUUGGUGAGAUGGAGCAGUUGGAUUGAUGAUGAAAGUAAUCUACAAGUUGUAACGAUGAUUUUCAAUGGUAGUCGUUACUGGGAAUGCGCCCAUUACCGCAAUGGAGUAUCACUUAGAUCUGACCGGUCUCUUCUAAGUCGUACUUUUCGAGCUAAUUAUUGUGAGAUAAUUAGGAAUAAAGGUGGUAACACGUGCAAACGUCCUUAGC
rnacentral:ncRNA from 1 species